UAAGCAUGAAGCCCCCCUCAAGAUGAGAUUUCCCAACUUCGGUUAUAAGAUCCCUCAAAGAUGAUGAGGUUAAUAGGUUCGAGGUGGAAGCGUGGUGACACGUGGAGCUGACGAAUACUAAUCGAUCGAAGACUUAAUCAA
rnacentral:rRNA from 1 species